rnacentral:lncRNA from 1 species
GAGACAGAUUGGAGACUGCUCUCUCGUCCUCAUCAGCUGCAGCACCCAGGAAGCCAGAGUUGAAGUGGAUGCCCCCAGCUCCCCUCCACUGUCCCCACCCAUGGGGUGAGGUGGGGCUGGUCCUCCUGCCCAAGACCCCUCAAGAUCCCUCGCUUCUGCCAUGUGCUGCUCCCAUCAUGUGACCUGCACCUCUAACACACCCUUCCCAUAUCUCCCAUUGCUCUCUGUAAAACAGCCUGGGCCAGCAGCCUCUGGCCAGUCCACUUCACUCCUCAGCACCCCUCAGGAAAAUCCAGGCCCCCACCCUCCAGCCCACUCCUCUCACCCGUGGACUCUCUCGCUUCCUGGAACCUUAUCCAGUAGUCUCACGGAGGUGGGGGAUUUGAGUGUGCCCUGGAGCUCAUGGUCUGCUGUGCCAGUGGGCAUCGAGAGGGCCAGGAGCUGCCCAGUGCGUGGCUCUCAGCAGGCAGGGAUGAGGCUGUGGACAAGUAGUGCCUCGCCUUCUCAAGGACCAUGUUGGAAGCCAACCCCUCGCUCCUGCCUGGAGCUCGGCCCCUGCAGCGCAGAGCUGCGUGGGGGUGAGCAGUGCUGGCAACCUGCUCCUCCAAGGGGCAUCAUGUCAAGAUGCCUUGAUUGGGAGCUAGAGAGAGAGAACCCUGUCUUCUUGGAC